rnacentral:sRNA from 1 species
UAAAGUACACAGGAUCUCUGAACUACCAUCCUUCUACAUACAGAAAUGAAGAGGAUGCGAUGGAUCCUUCUAAUUGUCAACUUGGCAUAAUCUGGAAUCACAGGAAGGACAAUCUCAAGCAGGGAUCAUUUGACUCAGGGAUGGACCUGGUUGUGGAAGAACUCAGAAAGUGAACUGUUCAUUAGCCCACAUGAACUAAGCAAUCUCUGCUCUUGCCAGUGGACAGCUGUGUACUCUUCUAUCAAGCUCCUGACCCUGUGACAUCAUCCAAGAAUGGGAUAUAGCAAGGAACUAUGAUCUCACAUUAUGCUUUCUUUCCCAAGUUGCUAUUGUAACUAUAUUUU